rnacentral:rRNA from 1 species
AGUGAACGCUGGCGGUAGGCCUAACACAUGCAAGUCGAACGGCAGCACAGUAAGAGCUUGCUCUUACGGGUGGCGAGUGGCGGGCGGGUGAGGAAUACAUCGGAAUCUACUUUUUCGUGGGGGAUAACGUAGGGAAACUUACGCUAAUACCGCAUACGACCUACGGGUGAAAGCAGGGGAUCUUCGGACCUUGCGCGAUUGAAUGAGCCGAUGUCGGACUAGCUAGUUGGCGGGGUAAAGGCCCACCAAGGCGACGAUCCGUAGCUGGUCUGAGAGGAUGAUCAGCCACACUGGAACUGAGACACGGUCCAGACUCCUACGGGAGGCAGCAGUGGGGAAUAUUGGACAAUGGGCGCAAGCCUGAUCCAGCCAUACCGCGUGGGUGAAGAAGGCCUUCGGGUUGUAAAGCCCUUUUGUUGGGAAAGAAAAGCAGCAGGUUAAUACCCCGCUGUUCUGACGGUACCCAAAGAAUAAGCACCGGCUAACUUCGUG